AAAGAUAUGUGUAUAUAUUUAAAUGCUUAAUACAUUUUUAAAUCAAUCAAUUUGUCUCUGUUCACAUUAGUUAAUGCACAAUACAUUAUCAAAUAUUAUUAAUGUUGUAAAUGUUCAUUGUUAGCUAAGGCAUUAACAAAUGUUAAGGAAUAAACCUUUAUAGUAAAGUGUUACUAAACUUUCUUUCACCAUUUCCUUCACAAUGUCUACUUAUUUCUAUGACUAACAGAUUUUGUUACCUGUGUCUUUUUUACAGGCUCUACCAUUGCUUGUAAGCUGGAUUGGGUAAAAUGGAUAAUCUUACAGGAUGUACAGAUACAAGUCAUGUAUUUUUUCGAAUACAAUAUUAAAUGCUGUCACGUGUAAAAGUAAUGUGGCUAAUCACUUUUUAUUUGUAGUUUACUUGAGUGUCCUUGCACUUUUCAGGAGUUAGGGCAGAUGUGGAGGCACAACCCGUGAUACCAGAUACACACCAAACACAUUAUCGGACAUUCAAUCAUUACAUGAUCCAUGUGGAUGCUGUCCAUUGAGGAAAGAGUUUGUUUAGAGGUUUCUGGACAGAAUUAAUCCCAAAGAUGGGAAAAAACGCACAUCCAAAUUAGGAGCAAUAAAAAGACAAGGAAUUUGAUGCAGAGAAAAGCUGUGGCCAUUAACCCCCAUGUGAACAGCUUCAUGCAGUCCCUGAUAGAGUUUGAAUGGACGACUUCAAACUAAAGGCCAGUGGUCUGUCUGCCACAGUUUAAUGCAUUUAUUUUCAGUGGUCAAUGAAAUUCAAAUAAAAUAUUUAAAACUAUGGGCAAGUGUUCUUUUUACCACAGGGAAAUGUUACCUUUUAGUCGAUGAUGGACUUUAAACUGAAAACUUCAAACUAUAUGGACCAGUGUUCUAAUUGCCAAAGUAAAAUUUGUUACAGGAGGGGCCUCCAAACUUGUUUAUACUUGUUGAUUUUAUUUUAUUUAACUUGUUUUUAUGUUUAUUAUUGUUUAAAAUCUUGUUUUAACAUGUUUUGUUUCAAUUAAAUGUUUUUUAAAUAAAAUUUUUAAUACAAA